AUUGAACGCUGGCGGAAUGCUUUACACAUGCAAGUCGAACGGCAGCACGGACUUCGGUCUGGUGGCGAGUGGCGAACGGGUGAGUAAUGUAUCGGAACGUGCCCAGUCGUGGGGGAUAACGUAGUGAAAAUUACGCUAAUACCGCAUACGAUCUAUGGAUGAAAGCGGGGGAUCGCAAGACCUCGCGCGAUUGGAGCGGCCGAUAUCAGAUUAGGUAGUUGGUGGGGGAAAGGCCCACCAAGCCAACGAUCUGUAGCUAGGCUGAGAGGACGACCAGCCACACUGGAACUGAGACACGGUCCAGACUCCUACGAGAGGCAGCAGUGGGGAAUUUUGGACAAUGGGCGAAAGCCUGAUCCAGCCAUUCCGCGUGCAGGAUGAAGGCCCUCGGGUUGUAAACUGCUUUUGUACAGAACGAAAAGGUUUCUACUAAUACUAGGAGCUCAUGACGGUACUGUAAGAAUAAGCACCGGCUAACUACGUGCCAGCCGCCACGGUAA
rnacentral:rRNA from 1 species